UACGAAGGGGGCUAGCGUUGUUCGGAAUUACUGGGCGUAAAGCGCGCGCAGGCGGUUCUUCAAGUCAGUGGUGAAAGCCCGGAGCUCAACUCCGGAACUGCCAUUGAAACUGUAGAACUUGAGGAUGAGAGAGGUGAGUGGAAUUCCCAGUGUAGAGGUGAAAUUCGUAGAUAUUGGGAAGAACACCGGUGGCGAAGGCGGCUCACUGGCUCAUUUCGACGCUCAGGCGCGACAGCGUGGGGAUCGAAACAGG
rnacentral:rRNA from 1 species